AGCCUCGCCGCUCAGAUGGUAGAGCGUGCGUUGUACAAAAGCGUAGGCGGCGUGGGUUCGAAUUCCACCGAGGCUA
rnacentral:tRNA from 1 species